GGGCACAUGGUGUAGUUGGUUAUCACGCCCGCUUAGCAUGACAUAAUCAAUGGUUCCUGUUUGCGGGCGGUCCCCGGUUCAAUUCCGGGUGUGUCCA